UUGGAGGGCAAGUCUGGUGCCAGCAGCCGCGGUAAUUCCAGCUCCAAUAGCGUAUAUUAAAGUUGUUGCAGUUAAAAAGCUCGUAGUUGAAUUUCGGGGUUAGUAGGUUGGUCAUGCCUCCGGUAUGUACUGAUCUCACUGAUUCCUCCUUCCUUAUGAACCGUAAUGCCAUUAAUUUGGUGUUGCGGGGAAUUUGGACCGUUACUUUGAAAAAAUUAGAGUGUUUAAAGCAGGCUAACGCUUGAAUACAUUAGCAUGGAAUAAUGAAAUAGGACGUUCGAUCUUAUUUUGUUGGUUUCUAGGAUUGACGUAAUGAUUAAUAGGGAUAGUUGGGGGCAUUAGUAUUCAAUUGUCAGAGGUGAAAUUCUUGGAUUUAUUGAAGACUAACUACUGCGAAAGCAUUUGCCAAGGAUGUUUUCAUUAAUCAAGAACGAAAGUUAGGGGAUCGAAGACGAUCAGAUACCGUCGUAGUCUUAACCAUAAACUAUGCCGACUAGGGAUCGGAUGAUGUUAAUUUUUUAAUGACUCAUUCGGCGCCUUACGGGAAACCAAAGUGUUUGGGUUC
rnacentral:rRNA from 1 species